rnacentral:rRNA from 1 species
AUGUUGCUUGUCUGGCCAAGGAGUCUUGUAAGACCACCAGAAUCACAUUUCGUGCCUGCACUUCAAUUCUUCUGGCAGCAUCGUCGAAUGGAUUGGUCAGCUCUCACCUGCUCCAUCGCCGUCCUGAUCAUUCUGUUCCUGCCGCUGCGUGCGCCCGGCGACCGGCUUGUCUCCAGCAAGCCGCUCUCCCUCGGCACCACCAUCGUCUCGGAUGGCGGUGACUUCGCAUUUGGCUUCUUCCCCUCUUCCGGCUCAACGCCGUCCAACCUGUACAUCGACAUCUGGUACAACGGCAUCUCCGAGCUCACCGUGCUGUGGGUCGCUAACCGGGAAACCCCGGUCAGGAACACUACCUCCUCCGCGCCCACGCUCUCCCUCACCAACACCUCCAAUCUUGUUCUCUCUGAUGGUGAUGGUAGUCGUGUUGUUUGGACGACUGGCGUGGCUGCUGCCUCGAGCUCCUAUUCAUCAGAGGCAGUGCUUCUGAAGACCGGUAACCUCAUCAUCCCGUCAUCCAACGGCACCACGGUAUGGCAGAGCUUCGACCACCCAACUGACACGUUCCUACCUGGCAUGAAGAUGCGAAUCAGGUACAGGACAUGUGCGGGUGGGCGCCUGGUAUCCUGGAAAGGCUCCGGAGACCCCUCGCCAGGGAGCUUCUCCUAUGGCUGCAACCCAGCCACCAUUAUCCAGAUGUUCCUCUGGGACGGGUCACGCCCGGUAAUACCGCACCACCCCAUGGACGGGGUACCAGGUCAAGAAUGA